GCAGGGCCGGAGAAGCACCUUCACUCCCAGCCUGCGCCCCGAUGCUGCGCGUUCUGUGCCUCCUGCGCCCCUGGAGGCCCCUUCGGGCCCGCGGCUGCGCUUCCGACGGGGCGGCCGGGGGCUCAGAGAUCCAAGUGCGCGCCCUGGCGGGUCCGGACCAAGGGAUCACUGAGAUUCUGAUGAACAGACCUUCUGCCCGCAAUGCCUUGGGGAAUGUCUUCGUCAGUGAGGUAAGAAAGGGCGGGCGCCAGGGUGGGCUGGGGAUGGGCUGGCACUAUCUAACUGGGUGUCCUCUGUAGCUGCUGGAAACUCUGGCCCAGCUGCGGGAGGACCAGCAAGUGCGUGUCUUGCUCUUCAGAAGUGGAGUGAAGGGCGUGUUCUGUGCAGGUGCAGACCUGAAGGAGCGGGAACAGAUGAGUGAAGCAGAGGUGGGGGUUUUUGUCCAGCGACUCCGGGGCCUGAUGAAUGACAUCGGGUUCAAGCCUGGCCGUUCCAAAGCAGUUAAGUUUCCCCAAGCAUGCUUUC
rnacentral:sRNA from 1 species